rnacentral:lncRNA from 1 species
AUUGAUUCUUGGUUAAUAAAAUAGGAUAGUUUAUGUUUUUAAUUAUUUCUAGACUAUAAAUUUGUUAAGACUUCGUUUUUGUUUUUUUUUGUUUUGUUUGUUUGGGUUUGAGUAUUUUAAAAUGAAAUUGCAAAAUCUCGUGGGUUAAAAAUUUAAAAUUCGGUUUUCAAAGUUAAAACUCUGAAAGUUUUUCUAUUGCAAAAUUAAGUAACCCCUAAAGAGUUUCUAUAAAUUAAAAAAAUAGCUUUAACGAGUGGUUCUGUUUAUGCCGGAAAUGAUUUGCCAAAAUACUUAUUUUCAAAACAUGGUUUGGAAU